UAUCUCACACCUUAAACAAAAAUCAAUUCAAAGUGGAUUAAAGAUAGAAAGAGGAGGUACAGUAAAUGCACCCCAUAUACACCUAAACCCAGGCCCUUUGCCUGAUCUGUAAUGUGAAUUGGGGGACAAAA